ensembl:lncRNA
GUGACCCUUGAGGAGGGAUUGGUUUAUGUGCAGUUCAGAGGCGCCCAACCGACUCCAGUUGAGAGAUGCAGCUGGUUUUGCGACCCUCCCGAGAGCAGCUCUAAGAACAGCAGACCAAGAGGGCCAGACAUGCAAAGCAGUGUACAUUGAACAGUUAAAUGAGGAACAGCAAAAUUAUAUAUUUGAUGCCUUCUGUCUUUUCAUGAUAAUGUGCUAACAAGUUGUGUUCGUCUUUUACUCAGCCAGAGUCUCAUUCAUGUGCUAAACAUUGGAAACUCUAUGUAUAUUAGUCUUAAACAUAA